rnacentral:lncRNA from 1 species
AAACACCGAGCUCCCCCUGAGCCGCCUGGGAGCAGGGAGGGUUCUGCUACCCUGAGGGGCCCUCCCCGCGGGGCAGAGGGUGGGAGGAAGUCACAGCAUCUACUUCUGAAUCUGUGCUUGCCUUGAGGAAAAACGGCAUGGCACAGGAAUGUGGACGCUUUCAACCAGAGGAUUCUGUACGACGGUGUCGGCACACAAGGAGCCAAGAAUAGGACAGCUUGGGAAGCUCAUCCUCGUCUACGGCCAAACGUUGGUUUCUCAUUUCUAGAAGAUGAAAGAUGUGAUGACUCAGGAAAAACUGGAAUCUUAGUAACUGUGGUGGGCAUUGAGCCUUGCCGUCCACAAGAGAAAGCUUGCUGCUCGAGAUGUGAGUCUUCAGAUGUUCCUGCCGCCAUAUCUGACAGCUGCUGCCAAGAUUCCCUGGUGGGAUGGACUCUUAUACCUCAACAACCAGAAGCCCAAGUAAACUCUUCUAUAAAUUGAAUGACUCAUGCUUAAAAAAAAAAACAAAAAACAAACUAUCUUUA